CCCUUAGAUGUUCUGGGCCGCACGCGUGCUACACUGAGUGGAUCAGCGGGUCAGGUUGCGCGAAAGUGUUUCCUAAUCUUGAAAUCCGCUCGUGAUGGGGAUUGACGGUUGCAAUUUUCCGUCAUGAACGAGGAAUACCUUGUAAGCGCGGGUCAUCAUCCCGCGCUGAAUACGUCCCUGCCCUUUGUACACACCGCCCGUCGCUCCUACCGAUUGAGUGGUCCGGUGAGGCUUUGGGAUCUGAGCAAAGAGAGCGUUUCGCUCGUUUUGCCCGGAAAACUCAGUCGAACCUUAUCAUUUAGAGGAAGGAGAAGUCGUAAC
rnacentral:rRNA from 1 species